ACGUAGGGGGCAAGCGUUGAUCGGAAUCACUGGGCUUACAGCGCGUGUAGGCGGGGCGGCAGGUCUUCUGUGAAAGCCCCCGGCUCAGCUGGGAGAGGUCGUUCAAUACUACCGGACUUGAGAGCGAUAGAGGAAAAUGGAAUUCCCGGUGUAGUGGUGAAAUGCGUAGAGAUCCGGAGGAACACCAGAGGCGAAGGCGACACCCUGGGCCGUACCUGACGCUAAGACGCGACAGCACGGGGAGCGAACGG
rnacentral:rRNA from 1 species